rnacentral:rRNA from 1 species
AUGAACGCUAGCUACAGGCUUAACACAUGCAAGUCGAGGGGCAGCAUGAACUUAGCUUGCUAAGUUUGAUGGCGACCGGCGCACGGGUGAGUAACACGUAUCCAACCUGCCGAUGACUCGGGGAUAGCCUUUCGAAAGAAAGAUUAAUACCCGAUGGCAUAGUUCUUCCGCAUGGUAGAACUAUUAAAGAAUUUCGGUCAUCGAUGGGGAUGCGUUCCAUUAGGUUGUUGGCGGGGUAACGGCCCACCAAGCCUUCGAUGGAUAGGGGUUCUGAGAGGAAGGUCCCCCACAUUGGAACUGAGACACGGUCCAAACUCCUACGGGAGGCAGCAGUGAGGAAUAUUGGUCAAUGGACGAGAGUCUGAACCAGCCAAGUAGCGUGAAGGAUGACUGCCCUAUGGGUUGUAAACUUCUUUUAUACGGGAAUAAAGUGAGGCACGUGUGCCUUUUUGUAUGUACCGUAUGAAUAAGGAUCGGCUAACUCCGUGCCAGCAGCCGCGGUAAUACGGAGGAUCCGAGCGUUAUCCGGAUUUAUUGGGUUUAAAGGGAGCGUAGGCGGACGCUUAAGUCAGUUGUGAAAGUUUGCGGCUCAACCGUAAAAUUGCAGUUGAUACUGGGUGUCUUGAGUACAGUAGAGGCAGGCGGAAUUCGUGGUGUAGCGGUGAAAUGCUUAGAUAUCACGAAGAACUCCGAUUGCGAAGGCAGCUUGCUGGACUGUAACUGACGCUGAUGCUCGAAAGUGUGGGUAUCAAACAGGAUUAGAUACCCUGGUAGUCCACACAGUAAACGAUGAAUACUCGCUGUUUGCGAUAUACAGUAAGCGGCCAAGCGAAAGCGUUAAGUAUUCCACCUGGGGAGUACGCCGGCAACGGUGAAACUCAAAGGAAUUGACGGGGGCCCGCACAAGCAGUGGAGUAUGUGGUUUAAUUCGACGCAACGCGAAGAACCUUACCAAGGCUUGACAUAUACAGGAAUAACUAAGAAAUUAGUUAGCUCUUCGGAGUCUGUAUACAGGUGGUGCAUGGUUGUCGUCAGCUCGUGCCGUGAGGUGUCGGCUUAAGUGCCAUAACGAGCGCAACCCUUAUCGAUAGUUACCAUCAGGUUAUGCUGGGGACUCUGUCGAGACUGCCGUCGUAAGAUGUGAGGAAGGUGGGGAUGACGUCAAAUCAGCACGGCCCUUACGUCCGGGGCUACACACGUGUUACAAUGGGGGGUACAGAAGGCAGCUACACGGCGACGUGAUGCUAAUCCCGAAAGCCUCUCUCAGUUCGGAUUGGAGUCUGCAACCCGACUCCAUGAAGCUGGAUUCGCUAGUAAUCGCGCAUCAGCCACGGCGCGGUGAAUACGUUCCCGGGCCUUGUACACACCGCCCGUCACACCAUGGGAGUCAGUAACGCCCGAAGUCAGUGACCUAACCGCAAGGGAGGAGCUGCCGAAGGCGGGACCGAUGACUGGGGUG